AUACUCGGUCUGCGGUGCAUCAUGGAUGUGUCUUCGAAUGAAGAUUAUUGCAUUGGCCUUUUGAGCUUCGUUGACAGGUUUGUCGUCGGCGGGUGCCUCGAUGGUGGCUUUAAUACCCUUCGCAGUCAGAUGGAGCUUCACGUCUUGCAUGAAAACUUCGGGUUUCAAAUGCACUAAAUAUGAAACUAUAGGUUCAAUUUAGUUUUUAUGAACGAUUAGUUCAUAAAUGAAAGGUUCCUGCAAGAAACACAGAAUGCAAUAUGUUGAUUUAAGUGUAGUGGAUUUGAGUUUCUUCAGGAACUCAAGUGUGAAAGCUUCGUUACUAUGAAAGUAUGUCAAUGGUUCAAAGUAUACAAAUAAAUUAUUGAAUCGUUAAUGUCCAAAUGUGAUCUU
rnacentral:lncRNA from 1 species